AUAAUACUUCCUCGGUCCGAAAAUACUUGUCCGAAGAAUGGAUAUAUUUAGAUGUAUUUUAAUUCUAGAUAUAUUCAUUUGUACGAUAAGUAUUUCCAGACGGAGGGAGUAUGGC
rnacentral:pre_miRNA from 1 species